AUUGAACGCUGGCAGCAGGCUUAACACAUGCAAGUCGAGCGGAGCGAGGGUGCUUGCACCUUAGCUUAGCGGCGGACGGGUGAGUAAUGCUUAGGAAUCUGCCUAUUAGUGGGGGACAACAUUCCGAAAGGAAUGCUAAUACCGCAUACGCCCUACGGGGGAAAGCAGGGGAUCUUUGGACCUUGCGCUAAUAGAUGAGCCUAAGUCGGAUUAGCUAGUUGGUGGGGUAAAGGCCUACCAAGGCGACGAUCUGUAGCGGGUCUGAGAGGAUGAUCCGCCACACUGGGACUGAGACACGGCCCAGACUCCUACGGGAGGCAGCAGUGGGGAAUAUUGGACAAUGGGCGGAAGCCUGAUCCAGCCAUGCCGCGUGUGUGAAGAAGGCCUUUUGGUUGUAAAGCACUUUAAGCGAGGAGGAGGAGCUCUAGGUUAAUACCCUAGAUGCUUGGACGUUACUCGCAGAAUAAGCACCGGCUAACUCUGUGCCAGCCGCCGCUGUAAGAC
rnacentral:rRNA from 1 species